rnacentral:sRNA from 1 species
ACGAAAGUAAGUGCCGCCCCGCACAGGGGCGACGCUAAUAGACCAAUAAGAAAUCAAGGAAAGGCCCGCGCCGUAGGCACACAGCCGAACUCCACGCCGUAGGCAAACACCC